rnacentral:rRNA from 1 species
UACAGGGGGGUGCAAACGUUGCUCGGAAUCAUUGGGCGUAAAGCGCACGUAGGCGGUUCGUUAUGUCGGAUGUGAAAGCCCUUGGCUUAACCGAGGAAGUGCAUCCGAAACUGGCGAGCUAGAGUACGAAAGAGGAUCGCGGAAUUCCCGGUGUAGAGGUGAAAUUCGUAGAUAUCGGGAGGAACACCGGUGGCGAAGGCGGCGAUCUGGGUAGAUACUGACGCUGAGGUGCGAAAGCGUGGGGAGCAAACAGG